UUGGGAAUCUUGGACAAUGGGGGAAACCCUGAUCCAGCCAUGCCGCGUGAGUGAUGAAGGCCUUCGGGUUGUAAAACUCUUUCGCGCACGACGAUAAUGACGGUAGUGCGAGAAGAAGCUCCGGCUAACUUCGUGCCAGCAGCCGCGGUAAUACGAAGGGGGCUAGCGUUGUUCGGAAUUACUGGGCGUAAAGCGCGCGCAGGCGGUCUUCCAAGUCAGUGGUGAAAGCCCGGAGCUCAACUCCGGAACUGCCAUUGAAACUGUUAGACUUGAGUAUGAGAGAGGUGAGUGGAAUUCCCAGUGUAGAGGUGAAAUUCGUAGAUAUUGGGAAGAACACCGGUGGCGAAGGCGGCUCACUGGCUCAUUACUGACGCUCAGGCGCGACAGCGUGGGGAUCAAACAGG
rnacentral:rRNA from 1 species